GAUGAACGCUAGCGGGAGGCCUAACACAUGCAAGCCGAGCGGCAGCAUUUUUUCGGCUUGGUGAGACCGGUGUACGGGUGCGUAACAGUGGUGCAACCUGCCUUUACCUGGGGUAUAGCCUUGCGAAAGGAAGAUAAAUAAUGCAUAAUACAUUGAACGCCAACGUGUAAUAUUGAAAGCUCGGUCGACUAUAGACGGGUACGCGUAAGAUUAGCGAGUUAGUGAGGUAACGGCGCACCAAGGCGCCGAUCUUUAGGGGGUCUGAGAGGGUGAUCCCCCACACUGGUACUGAGACACGGACCAGACUCCUACGGGAGGCAGCAGUGAGGAAUAUUGGUCAAUGGGUGCAAGCCUGAACCAGCCAUGUCGCGUGAAGGACGACUGCCCUAUGGGUUGUAAACUUCUUUUAUAUAGGGAUAAACCUACCCUCGAGAGCCUAGCUGAAGGUACUAUACGAAUAAGCACCGGCUAACUCCGUG
rnacentral:rRNA from 1 species